rnacentral:rRNA from 1 species
AUGGGCAGCUUGCGCGCUCCGCCUCAGCUCGCCGGCGGCACCAGCCUUGGUCGCGGUUACCGGCCCUGUCUUGCCUCUUCCGGGGUCCCCAAAUCCAAAGUGUUGGGUGUUAGCUGCGCGAUGAAGUCCUAUAGGCUGUCCGAUCUCAGUGAUGCCGAGGUUAGCGGCCUCAAGGCGCGCCCUCGCAUUGACUUCACCUCCAUUUUCAGUACGGUGAAUCCGAUUGUUGAAGAUGUCCGCGUCAGAGGUGAUGCUGCGGUUAAGGAUUACACAGAAAAGUUUGACAAGGUCACUCUCGAUAAUGCCGUUGUGCGUGUUAGCGAUCUCCCAGAUGCAGAGCUUGAUCCAGCUGUUAAGGAAGCCUUUGAUGUGGCGUAUGACAAUAUUUAUGCCUUCCAUGUUUCACAAAAGUCGCCAGAAAAGACAGUUGAGAAUAUGAAAGGAGUGAAGUGUAAAAGGAUAACAAGAUGCAUUGGUUCUGUCGGGCUGUAUGUUCCAGGGGGCACUGCAGUCUUGCCUUCAACUGCAUUGAUGCUUGCUGUGCCUGCACAGAUUGCUGGAUGCAAAACUGUAGUUCUUGCCACACCCCCUAGUUGUGAUGGUAGCAUAUGUAAGGAGGUUCUUUACUGUGCUAAAAAAGCUGGUGUUACACACAUACUAAAAGCUGGGGGAGCUCAGGCAAUCUCCGCUAUGGCAUGGGGAACUGCAUCAUGCCCAAAGGUUGAGAAAAUAUUUGGUCCCGGCAACCAGUAUGUCACAGCUGCUAAAAUGAUUCUUCAGAACAGCGAAGCUAUGGUCUCUAUAGACAUGCCUGCUGGCCCUUCAGAAGUUCUGGUAAUCGCUGACAAAUAUGCCAACCCAGUUCAUGUUGCCGCUGAUCUGCUAUCUCAGGCAGAACACGGCCCAGAUAGUCAGGUUGUUCUAGUUAUUGCGGGAGAUGGUGUUGAUUUAGCUGCCACUGAAGCAGAAGUUAGCAAGCAGUGUGAUGCUCUUCCUAGAGGCGACUUUGCUUCCAAAGCACUUGGCCACAGUUUCACUGUGUUUGCCAGAGAUAUGGCUGAGGCAUUAUCGUUCUCAAAUAUGUAUGCUCCUGAGCAUUUGAUCAUCAAUGUAAAGGAUGCUGAGCAAUGGGAGGAGCUCAUCGAGAAUGCAGGGUCAGUUUUCUUGGGACAAUGGACCCCCGAGAGCGUCGGUGACUACGCUAGUGGGACGAACCACGUCCUCCCAACCUACGGUUACGCGAGGAUGUACAGCGGUGUGUCGCUGAAUUCUUUCCUCAAGUACAUCACUGUUCAAUCCCUGACUGAAGAAGGGCUGAGAAGGCUGGGUCCCUACGUCGCAAAGAUGGCAGAAGUCGAAGGCCUAGAAGCGCACAAGCGAGCUGUUACCCUCAGACUGCAAGAGAUCGAAGCCACUGUAACUGUUUAA